rnacentral:rRNA from 1 species
ACGGGAGGCAGCAGUGGGGAAUAUUGCACAAUGGGGGAAACCCUGAUGCAGCGACGCCGCGUGAGUGAUGAAGUAUUUCGGUAUGUAAAGCUCUAUCAGCAGGGAAGAAAAUGACGGUACCUGACUAAGAAGCACCGGCUAAAUACGUGCCAGCAGCCGCGGUAAUACGUAUGGUGCAAGCGUUAUCCGGAUUUACUGGGUGUAAAGGGAGCGUAGGCGGCGUGGCAAGUCAGAAGUGAAAACCCAGGGCUCAACCUUGGGACUGCUUUUGAAACUGUCAUGCUAGAGUGUCGGAGAGGUAAGCGGAAUUCCUAGUGUAGCGGUGAAAUGCGUAGAUAUUAGGAGGAACACCAGUGGCGAAGGCGGCUUACUGGACGAUAACUGACGCUGAGGCUCGAAAGCGUGGGGAGCAAACAGGAUUAGAUACCCUGGUA